rnacentral:rRNA from 1 species
AUGUCGUCGCCGACCGCCGCGCCGGCGCCGACUACGCCCCCGGCGCCGCCGGCUAACGCCACCGCGCCGCCCCCGGCCACCCCGUCGGCGCCUCCCCCGGCGAUCCCCUCCCCCUCGCCGCCGGCCCCCGCCAACCCGCCCCCGGCCUCCGUCCCGCCGCCGGCAGCGCCCGCGGCCUCCCCUCCCGCGCCGUCCUCCACACCGGCCACCCCAUCGGCACCAUCUCCGUCACCCCCGGGCGCCCCUGCCACCCCUUCCCCGCCCUCGGACAUGCUCUCUCCGCCCUCGCCAGAAGGGAGGUCCCCGCCCUCGCCCGGUGGCGGGGGAAGAUCGCCGUCCACGCCAGGCCACAACAACCCGUCGCCGAAAUCGCCGCCUCAUUCCUCCGGUGGCGGUGGCGGUGGCUCUGGGGUGUCCACGUCGGUGGUCGUCGGCGUAGCCGUGGGUGGCUUCGUGCUGCUGCUGCUCGCUACCUUCGUGUGCCUCUGCUGCCUCCGGAAGAAGCGCCGCCGCCAGCCUCCACCCCUGCACUAUGGUUACCCGCCGCCUCCUCCUCCGCAGUAUAAAGAGGAUCAUUAUGGAGCAACAUACCAGAAUUGGCAGAAUAAUGCUCCUCCUCCUCCACCUGAUCAUGUGGUUAAGAUGCACCCAUCACCUCCUCCAGCAUAUGCCAAUCGUCCUCCACAGGCACCACCGCCGCCUCCACCCCCUAUGAUAAACAGCAGCGGCGGGUCAGUUUCUAAUUACUCAGGUGGUGGUUUCGGAUAUGUUCACAAAGGAGUGCUGCCUAAUGGCAAAGAGAUUGCUGUGAAGCAAUUGAAACUUGGGAGUGGCCAGGGAGAGCGUGAGUUCCAGGCGGAGGUUGAGAUUAUCAGCCGCGUUCAUCACAAGCAUCUUGUGUCUCUGGUUGGUUACUGCAUCUCUGGGGGGAAGAGGUUGCUUGUAUAUGAGUUUGUCACCAAUAACACAUUGGAAUUCCACUUACAUGGAAAAGGCCGUCCAACGUUGGAGUGGCCCAUAAGACUAAGGAUUGCCCUUGGUGCUGCUAAGGGUUUGGCAUACAUUCAUGAAGAUUGCCACCCGAAGAUCAUACAUCGUGAUAUAAAGUCAUCAAACAUUCUUCUUGAUUUUAAAUUCGAAGCUAAGGUUGCGGAUUUUGGUCUGGCAAAGUUCACCUCUGAUAACAACACACAUGUGUCAACAAGAGUAAUGGGCACUUUUGGGUAUCUAGCACCAGAAUAUGCGUCUUCUGGAAAGCUAACUGAGAAAUCAGAUGUCUUUUCCUUUGGAGUGAUGCUUCUUGAGCUGAUAACUGGGCGUCGGCCUGUUGAUUCGACCCAAACAUAUAUGGAUGACAGCUUGGUUGAUUGGGCAAGACCUUUACUGAUGCGAGCACUUGAGGAUGGUAACUAUGAUGAGUUAGUGGAUGCUCGUCUGGGAAAGGAUUUCAAUCCUAAUGAGAUUGCCAGAAUGAUAGCAUGUGCUGCUGCAUGUGUACGCCAUUCAGCACGUCGUCGCCCUCGAAUGAGUCAGGUUGUUCGGGCCUUAGAAGGUGACGUCUCUUUGGAGGAUCUUAACGAAGGUGUCCGGCCUGGUCAUAGCCGCUUUUUCGGAUCAUACAGCAGUUCUGACUAUGAUUCUGGGCAGUACAACGAGGACAUGAAGAAGUUCAAGAAGAUGGCCUUUACGACGAACGACUACACGAGCAGCCAAUACAGUGCGCCGACAAGCGAGUAUGGUCAGAUACCAUCUGCAUCAAGCAGUGAGGGCCAACAAACUCAAGAAAUCGAGACAGGGACAAUGAAGAAAGGUGGCCACAGUGGCUACAGUUCAGGAUACAGCGGGCCGUCGUGA